rnacentral:lncRNA from 1 species
GUCCUGCCCGCCUGCAUCGUGCUACUCGGCCGCAUGGCCCUCGCGACCACGCCUGCGCGGUCUGCUUGCCUGCGUCGUGAUCCUCGGUCGCGUAAUGCCCGAGACCACACCUGCGCCGCCAGCCCGCCUGCGUCGUGCUCCUUGGCUCCAUGUUCCCGAGACACACCAGCGCCGCCAGCCCGCCUGCGUCGUGCCCCUCGGCUCCAUAACCCCCGAGACACGCUUGCGCGGCCAGCCUGCCCGCGUCGAGCUCCUCGGCCAUAUUCACGACCGAGUCUAUCUCAGGGUGGCUUACCCACCAGGGUGUCGCCCCUCUGUCCCAGCCUGCCUGCGCCGAGCUUCUCGGCCAUACGCCCCCUAGUUCACCUCAGCGCGGUCUGCCCGCCUGAGCGGUGUCCCUUGGCCGCACCGCCGAGAUGCACCUCAGCGCGGUCUGCCCGCUUGAAUCGAGUCCCCCGGCUUUUUGCCAUAUCCCUCAGCCAUAGACGGCCGAGCCCACCUGCGCGGCCAGCCCGCUUGCGUCGUGCUCCUCGGCUCUUCGGCUUUACGCCACCCGAGACCACGCCUGCGCGGCCUGCCCGCCUGCAUCGUGCUCCUCGGCUCUCCGGCUUUACGCCACCCGAGACCACACUUGCGCAGCUAGCCCGUCUGCGUCGUGCUCCUCGGCCCUCAUCGGCUC